rnacentral:rRNA from 1 species
UACGGAGGGUGCAAGCGUUAAUCGGAAUUACUGUGCUUCCCUCUCCCGCAGGCGGUCUGUCAAGUCGGAUGUGAAAUCCCCGGGCUCAACCUGGGAACUGCAUUCGAAACUGGCAGGCUAGAGUCUUGUAGAGGGGGGUAGAAUUCCAGGUGUAGCGGUGAAAUGCGUAGAGAUCUGGAGGAAUACCGGUGGCGAAGGCGGCCCCCUGGACAAAGACUGACGCUCAGGUGCGAAAGCGUGGGGAGCAAACAGGAUUAGAUACCCUGGUAGUCCACGCCGUAAACGAUGUCGAUUUGGAGGUUGUGCCCUUGAGGCGUGGCUUCCGGAGCUAACGCGUUAAAUCGACCGCCUGGGGAGUACGGCCGCAAGGUUAAA